rnacentral:rRNA from 1 species
AGUGGAUGGGGAGCAACCUAGUUGUGCGUGUGUAAAGGUAGUGCCAAGAAAAGCGAUGAUCAUGUUGAAAAUCAAUUCCCGGUACCCGAAACCGACACAGGUGGGCAAGUAGAGAAUACUAAGGGGCGCGAGGUAACUCUCUCCAAGGAACUCGGCAAAAUGACCCCGUAACUUAGGGAGAAGGGGUGCCACCGAGAGGUGGUCGCAGUGAAGAGGCCCAGGCGACUGUUUAGCAAAAACAUAGGUCUCUGCAAACUCGAAAGAGGAGGUAUAGGGGCUGACGCCUGCCCAGUGCCGGAAGGUUAAAGGAGUUGGUCAGUUUUAGGAUGAAGCUAGCGACUGAAGCCCCGGUGAACGGCGGCCGUAACUAUAACGGUCCUAAGGUAGCGAAAUUCCUUGUCGGGUAAGUUCCGACCCGCACGAAAGGCGUAACGAUCUGGGCGCUGUCUCGGAGAGAGGCUCGGCGAAAUAGGAUUGUCUGUGAAGAUACGGACUACCUGCAUUUGGACAGAAAGACCCUAUGAAGCUUUACUAUAGCUUGGAAUUGUGUUCGGGCUUCCUGUGCGCAGGAUAGGUGGGAGGCGUAGAAGGUAUCCUUGUGGGGAUACUGGAGCCAACGGUGAGAUACCACUCUCAGGAGGCUAGAAUUCUAACUUAAUUAAGGACAGUUUCAGGUGGGUAGUUUGACUGGGGCGGUCGCCUCCAAAAAGGUAACGGAGGCGUACAAAGGUUCCCUCAGACUGGUUGGAAAUCAGUCGAAGAGUGCAAAGGCAGAAGGGAGCUUGACUGCGAGAAGUACAGUUCGAGCAGGGUGGAAACACGGUCUUAGUGAUCCGACGGUGCUGUGUGGAAGGGCCGUCGCUCAACGGAUAAAAGUUACUCUAGGAUAACAGGCUGAUCUCCCCCAAGAGUUCACAUCGACGGGGAGGUUUGGCACCUCGAUGUCGGCUCAUCGCAACCUGGGGCGGAAGUACGUCCCAAGGGUUGGGCUGUUCGCCCAUUAAAGCGGUACGUGAGCUGGGUUCAGAACGUCGUGAGACAGUUCGGUCCAUAUCCGAUGUAGGCGUGAGAAUAUUGAGAGGAGCCUUCCUUAGUACGAGAGGACCGGGAAGGACGCACCGCUGGUGUACCUGUUAUGAUGCCAAUUGUAAACGCAGGGUAGCCAAGUGCGGAGAGGAUAACCGCUGAAAGCAUCUUAGUGGGAAGCCCACCUCAAGAUGAGUAUUCUGGUGUAAGGUCACGGGAAGACGACCCGUAAAUAGGCACGAGGUGGAAGUGCAGAGAUGUAUGAAGCCGAAGUGUACUAAUAGACCGUCGGCUUGACC